UUGAAUAUUAUGUUGAGCCCUGUAAAGCCAAUGAUGUGGCUGAUAAUGGGUGUGUCCACACCAAAAGGACCAGUGUCACGAUGCCAACCAGUGGUUACAUCAUCUAUGGCGUUGCCCAUCAGCACUCAGGGGGCAUUGGUGCAGCUCUAUACAGAAAGGUGAUUUCAAUAUCUAAUUUGCAUUCACGUGGCAUGCCUUUUCUUUUGUCUAUGUUCUACUUUCCAUUGUAAUUUUAUCAUUCUUAUCUGCUAGGUUGGUGGUAAACUGGUGAUAUAUGAAGACGUGUACUAGUUCUUGAUCUUUUUAAUUUUCUUGUUAGAUUAUGCUUUGAAAGUUAUUGUUUCUUUAGUCUGCAAAAGAAUUGUCAGAAUUUUUUAAGAUUAUGUAAAUGUUUACAACAUUAAUUAGAUGUUGAGGACAUGUGAGUGUGACAUUAUCAUAUUUCCAAAGUAGACUAUUUUUUAGCUUCUAGCUGCUUGAUUUGUUUGUCAUCCUCAAAGUUUGGAUAACAUUGAUAUUUUAUAUAUAGUGUUAUGGUCCCUGAAAUUGGUUGGAUGUUUUCCCUUUUUCUUUUGAAGAACAAUUCUUCAUUAUUCAUUUUAUGUAAUUUUUUCAGAACCCAGUGUGAUGAUUGUGGAAGGAAUUUGAUUCCCAAUGUCUUCUUCAUUGAUAUGCUUGUUUUUGGUGAAACCAGGAUGGACAACUUAUGUGUUCUUCAAUUCCAGCUUAUGGAAAUGGGAAGGAAGCUGGAAACGAGGCUGGAUAUAUUGUAGGAAUGUCGACUUGUUAUCCUAAACCAGGCUUCCUCAGGAUAACAGAUAAGGAAACUCUGAUUGUGGAAUCUAACUACAGUAGCUCCCACGAUCACACAGGAGUUAUGGGGCUUUUCUACAUUUUGGUUGCAGACAGGGUGCCCGAGUCCAGUUCAUUCUUAGAUGUUUUCAACAAGGUAAGAUUCCCUUUUCAUAUUUUUAGAUAGUGAGUUCAGCAAUACAAUUUAUUAUGCUUGUGAGCACAUGCGAAGAUACCGGAGAGCAAAAAACUUAUUCUAGAAUUGAGGAGGAAUAUUGUCUUACCUCUUUGAUUAUCGAAAUGGUAUAGAGAAUGGAUUAUAGACAGUCGUUUUGAUUAGUGUUGGUGAGAAGAUUAUUAUUUGCUGGAGUAGAAACUGUUUAAUAUGAUUCUUAGGCGAUAAUAGAACUAUAAUCCUCUUCUUGAUUUUAGCAAGAAACACCAAGCCUCUGAUAACUGCCUGGUUUUUGCAGAUGUACAAUGAUAUAAACCAUUCUGCUUUUGUUUGGGGAGCGUUUGUUUUAGCCGGAGUUGCUAUCAUUGCUGCUGCUGUGGGUUACUGGCGUAGGAAUAAGUACGAAGAUGGAUACCAACCAAUUAUGAUCUGAACUUGUUCUUAUGAGGCUUAGCCAUGUGUAUUAGACAGAAAUAAUGUUAGCUCUGUAUCAUAUGUUCUGAAACUCUCGUUUCCCUUUGCUAGAUGAGCGUGAAUAAACAGAUGAGCGUGAAUAAACCCGGGAGACUCACAGUCUUGCCCAAUAUUAUUUCUAUUACUGUUGUUAGUAAUUGGAACUGAGUGAUUAAUGUGAGCCUCUGUUGGACUUUAUGGCCAUUUCUUUCAUUUUCUCUACGACUCCUGUAGCUGCUUGUGUUCAACGCUAUUUUCACAUUUGUAAGGGACCUGUCCAAAAUUCAAAGCAUUAUUGGGUCGCUAUUUCCUGUGGCAGCUGCCAAGUUUGAGUAUCUUCGACUUAGAGGAACCACAUAUGUUACUUUUUUUUGAAAAAAAAAUUCAUUUCAUGUUUUUAGUCUGCAUGUGUGUUAUUUAAUAAUAAUCGUUGAAAGAACUGUUUUAAAUAUUUUACUUCAUCAUAGUUUCUCCUACAAUUAUGGAUCUCUGUUUCCUAGUUUUCCCCUUCUCAAACGAUCUAUAUACACGGUAAGCUCAAAGUAUGCAUGCUUCGUCAUAUAUUUAACACAAGUGUGCAUAUUGCAACUAAUAUUUUGGGAUGCAUCACACAAUAAUUUUACAAUAUAUCCAUCGUGCUUUGUGACAUUACCUUUGACUUUAUCAAUUGCAUUGUUACCAGAGAUAGUGCAUUAUUAACUAUGAUACUGUAAAGAAUUCAAUUUGAAAUCAAAUUAACAAUCGACAAUGAAUCAUAAUAUGGUCAAAUAAAAAAUAAAGAGAUACGUACUAGCUUUGAAAUGGGAAAAUAAAUAAUGAACGAAUGAUUUAGUUUUUUUUUUUCCAAAUUCUCUUUUAUGUUUAUUACUGUUGGGUUGCCCCUCUGGAAAAAUUCAUAGGUCCGGUUCAGAAAUGCAAAAUACAAUAGUAAUCACAUGGGGGUUUAAUGCAAAUAUGCAGUGAAGGAGGCACUAUGCAGAUUGUCAAUGAAUAAUGGGAAGAUGAAAUUUACGUAUAAAGGUGAACUAUUGGCACCCUUUGCGUAUCUUUUGAAACCCCUUUUCUUUAUCUAUCUCAUUAUAAUUAUUUGAAAAUUAUAAAACUCUCAUGGCAUCGUUUUAGUUUAAAAAAUAACCUUAAUUUCUUGUUGAGUUUACACCCCCUUCUUUCUCUUCACAUCUCUCUCCCCCUCAUUUGCUUACCAUUCUUUCCUCUCUCUUUCUCUUCCACUAUGAGUUCUCUCCGUCGUCAACUCUUUUUAUGGUGAUGAACAAAUUGGACUUUAUGACCAUAACAUUAUAAUUAUUAAUAUAUAUAUAUAUAUAUAUAAUAAUAAUAAUAAUAAUAAUAAAGAUUCAAUGAGAAUGAUGCAAUUGAUUGGUAUUCUUGAUUUUUUUUUUUUUGCUUCUUUAACUAAACUUAAAAGUUUCAUUACUAACCACAACAACAAUAUGAAAGAAAUUAGAAUGUUGCCGAAUUUAUUUUUUGUAAUUGUUUUAUUUUUCUAAAUUAAUUCGGAUGGGGACGAAGGCAAAUGGAAGAGAACAAUAAAAAUCAUUGGCUCUGAAAAUAUUUUUCUGUAGGAUGCCCUGCCUUCUGAAACCUCCUCAACGUUAAAUCUAUAUAUAUAUAUAUAUAUAUAUAUAUAUAGAGUCAGAGUUCAAAUUUUGUGCUUUAACUGCCGUUGCUUUGUGGAAGUCAUUUCUCCGCACCCCCUUCAUUUCUCCUUCGCAUAUCCACCUCCUGCCUUCAAGUGAUUUUUGUGGGACCAAAAUCUAAUUGUUUCAUUUUUUUUUAAAUUAUCCUCGUUCAAAUCAUAAUUAAUUUUUAUUAUUUUAAAUUUUAUUAUUUUUAUUAAAUUUUAUUAAUUUAGUUAUUAUUAAUUAUUGUUAUUAUUAUUUUUAUUAAUAUUAUCAUUAUUAACAAUUAUUGUUAUUAUUAUUGUCAAAAUUUAUUAAUUUUAUUAUUUUAAAUGUCAUUAUUAUUAUUAACUUUAUUAUUUUAGUUAUUAUUAAUUAUUGUUGUUAUUAUUUUAUUAAUAUUAUCAUUAUUAACAAUUAUUAUUAUUAUUAUUAUUGUUAUUGUUAUUAUCAUUAUUAUCAAAAUUUAUUAUUUUAAAUGUCAUUAUUAUUAUUAUUAUUAUUGACUUUAUUAUUUUAGUUAUUAUUAAUUGUUAUUAUUAUCAUUAUUAACAAUUUAUUAUUAUUAUUAUCAUUAUUAUUAUCAAAAUUUAUUAAAUUUAUUAUUUUAAAUGUCAUUAUAUUAUUAUUAUUAUUAUUGACUAUAUUAUUUUAGUUAUUAUUAAUUAUUUUUAUUUUUAUUAUUAUCAUUAUUAACAAUUUAUUAUUAUUAUUAUUAUUAUUAUUAUUAUUAUUAUUAUUAUUAUCAUCAUCAUCAAAAUUUAUUAAAUAUAUUAUUUUAAAUAUCAUUAUUAUUAUUAUUGACUAUAUUAUUUUAGUUAUUAUUUUUAUUUUUAUUAAUAUUAUCAUUAUUAACAUUUAUUAUUAUUAUUAAUUUUAUUUUUUUAAUUAAUAGCAUUUUUAUAAUAAUAUUUAUACAUGUAUCUAGUUGAUGAAAAUUGCAUUAUUUAAUACUAUGGAUAUUUUGGUAAAUUGAUUCUCAUUUCUAUUCCGCAUUCCCAUUUAUUUUGUCAAGUAAACACAUCAAUGACAUUCCAGCACAUUUCUAUUUCUAUUUAUUUUUGGCAAUCAAACAUUUCAUCUCAUUUUCAUUCCUCAUUCUCAUUCUAUGAAAUAAACGAACCAUUAUUUCUUAAUUUUUCAUUUCCGUCAAAUUUCUAAUUCAGUUAGUCACACAAAUAAAAUUACUUACUUGAAAAUCACUCCCAAAUGUACAAUGAACUUAUUUGUAGGAGCUGGCUGAGUUACAUAUUCUGUAACUUACAGAUCCAACUCCUAUUGCCUGCAUUUACACAGUUUUUCUCUCUCCUCAGGACACGUGUGUUGCUUCCCAUUGGGUGUGUACGUUACAGAUUCUGUAACGUAGGUUGGUCCCUUAUUUGUAAUGUUGUCUAUUAUUAUAGUUUAUCACUAUUAUUCCUAUCAAUCUGAGACUCUCCGUAGCACGCAACUCCCAACCGAUUUAUUUAAACGUGCUGCCAAACAACGACUCGCAUAAGAUAAAGGGAAGAACAAUCAAGAAUCAUCACUCCAUUAUCUAAUUUUUCAUGCCGUAGCCAGAACGCUUUACUAAGUAGCGACUUAAGGUCGAUGGAAGAACAAUCAAGCUGAUAUGACUAGUUUGUCAUUAUUGCUUUUCUUGACUACCACAAGAUCUAUAUCGAGGGAGGUGCUACCUUAAAUUUAAGGUACAGCUCUCUCUAAGAACCACUGCUGUAGGGAGAGUUGUACCUUAAGAUAAACUUAAGGUAGGCAAAACCUUUUGUCGGUGUCUCCAACUUUCAAUUUCUUCAACAUUUAGCUUUCCUGGAAGCAAUUAUACACACUCUACUGAUGCGACAAAAGGUGCCAAAAAAAAAAAAAAAAACUGCCCGUUGCGUCACUGCUUAGGUCAUUCUAAACCUUCAGUUCUCUGUCUGUAGUCUAUCACUUGGUGCAAAAUAGUCAAGUUCUCACGUUUUAGACGGCACGUUAAUCGGACACGCGGCUGAUCCUGUCCUUAACAGGCCAUUUUUAUUAGGCCACCUACCUUAUUACAAUGAAUGUAAAGUAUAUCUUCUUACAAAUUGAGUUGUAGGACUCAUUUGGACCCACAGCCAAUAAAGAGGAUGUACCUUACAAUCAUUGUAAGGUAGCAGCUCCCUAUUAUAUUAGUUACUUCAUUUGUGAAUGUAAUGAGAAAGAACUAAGGCGACGCACCCUCGCAGGAGCUGAAACUUUCAGUCUAUCACAGUCUGAAAAGGCCGUUGACCAUGCAAUCUGCGUACGUUGUUUGUUCUCAAAUUUGAUCGUUUGUUUUCAUUUUUCGUUCAUGUCAAGUUUCUGUAUUUGUACACAAUUAAAUGAUCACUCAUUCGCAGGUUUUGCUUUUACCUGACGCUCUUCAAUAGUUUUAUUCACUCUAGUAUUUGCGAUAUAUCUUUCUGCUUGAUGACCCAAGUUGCAUGUGAACGGAUUAGCUAUUCAUUUUACUUUGUUAAUCAGUCAAAUAUCAUAGACCCCAUCUGUUAUUACAGCAGUGAUUGCUAGGAACAGUUGAGAGUCUUUUCAAACUUUUCCAAACAUGUGUCCAAAUAGAUUGAGCUUGUACGUGAGAUAGCUGGAUUUUAUUUGCUUACAAACCUUUUUUGGGAUUAUUUAAAAAUUACAAUUACUGAUCUGGUUUCGGAUACACGAGAGUUUUUUGCUAUUAUCCAAUUUAUUUUGGUUGGAGCACGUUUUAACUGACACAAAGCCGGAAAUACCAGUUCAAUCUCAGUAACCUCUAUAAUUUGUCUCAAAUACAUUGUGUUUAGUUAUUCAUGUUCUUGGAUUUCCAAUUUCAUUUAUGGCUUAACUGAUAUAAGAAAGCUGACAGGGAUAUGAGAAAUUUUUCUCAAGGAUGGAAGAUUCUGGUAGCCAUUUUUCUGUUGGGAUUAAGCUUUCCAUACUCACAAGGUUAUAAUGUCAAAUCUAAAGUCUUUUUGUCACCUAAGUUUGUGCUGGGGCCAGGAUCCGUUGAGAAUAAAUUUUACUAUGGGAUUGACUUUCCGAGAGGUCAUAUUGCUCUAAAGAGUUUUAAUGCAGAAGUAAUUGAUGAGGCAGGAAAUCCCGUUCCUCUUCACGAGACUUAUCUCCACCAUUGGGCCGUUCAAAAAUACUAUGGACGUAAAGAUGCAGAAUUACUAGAGUAUAAUGGCAACAGACUUCUUCGUGAAUCAGAUUACAUUUCAGCGAGAAAUGAUGGCAUAUGCCAGACGAAUAUUCUUGAGCAGGAUUUUGGCCUUGGCUCUGAGACGCGAGGAACGGCAACGCAUAUUCCAGAUCCUUAUGGAUUAGAAAUUGGCAAUCCUGCUACAAUUCCUGCAGGCUAUGAAGAGAGAUGGUUUCUUAAUGUCCAUGCAAUUGAUACACGAGGUGUCGAAGAUAGGUUGGGAUGCACCGAAUGCAAGUGCGAUUUGUACAAUGUUACAUUGGAUGAGUAUGGCCAGCCACUAAAGCCAAAUUACAGAGGUGGUUUAGCGUGUUGUUACGAUGGUACGCAGUGUAGAUUGUCAAACGGUUUUGAAGGUGCCAGGAGGAGCCUCUAUUUGAGAUAUACCGUAAAGUGGGUUGAUUGGGACACUUCCAUUGUGCCUGUUAAAAUCUACAUAUUUGAUGUCACUGACAAGGAAACACGGUUUAGUGAUUCCACUGGAUUCAGCAUACAGCAUCAUUGCCAGGUAAGU
rnacentral:lncRNA from 1 species